GAAUUGUAGUAUUCAAAAUCCUUGAUUAAUUUUAACCUUUUCUCGUUUAAGAUCGUAUUAGUAAUUUUAUAUGAUUAAUGAAGGAAAAUUGCAAAUAAAUAAAAGGAUAGUGUUAGAAAGAUUGCAUCAGUGAUUUAUACAUAUUUGGCUUAAGGUUGGCCUAGUCUUAUCCCCAACGUGUCUUCUUGAGAGAUUCACUAUAAACUUUGAGCUUUUUAAGAUUAUACCCACAGACCAUUAAUAUAAAUUUAUCCCCAUUUAAAUGACAACUUUUAC
rnacentral:lncRNA from 1 species